rfam:Bombyx mori DNA, contig: Bm_scaf57_contig28204, strain: p50T/Dazao, build 2, whole genome shotgun sequence.
UUAACUCAAAUUCGUAUGGAGUUGGAACGUUUGCCUGCGUUUGCCACUAGGGGCUCUGUUCCAACUGCAUACAAAUUUGAGUUA